GUAGGUGGCAAGCGUUGUCCGGAAUUAUUGGGCGUAAAGCGCGCGCAGGCGGUUCUUUAAGUCUGAUGUGAAAGCCCACGGCUCAACCGUGGAGGGUCAUUGGAAACUGGAGAACUUGAGUACAGAAGAGGAAAGCGGAAUUCCACGUGUAGCGGUGAAAUGCGUAGAGAUGUGGAGGAACACCAGUGGCGAAGGCGGCUUUCUGGUCUGUAGCUGACGCUGAGGCGCGAAAGCGUGGGGAGCAAACAGGAUUAGAUACCCUGGUAGUCCACGCCGUAAACGAUGAGUGCUAAGUGUUAGGGGGGUUUCCGCCCCCCUUAGUGCUGCAGCUAACGCAUUAAGCACUCCGCCUGGGAGUACGGCCGCAAGGCUG
rnacentral:rRNA from 1 species